AUGACUAUGGCGAAAAGGUAAACGCGGUUAGUUUAGAUCUAACUUUAUAUAAUUAAGGGUUCAAAUCCCUUUAGUCAUAA
rnacentral:tRNA from 1 species